rnacentral:rRNA from 1 species
UUCCGGUUGAUCCUGCCGGACCUGACUGCUAUCGGAUUGAUAUUAAGCCAUGUGAGUCUUUGUAGCAAUACAAGGCAUACGGCUCAGUAACACGUAGUCAACCUACCUUAUAGACGGGGAUAACCUCGGGAAACUGAGAAUAAUACCCGAUAGAUCAUUAUGUCUGGAAUGGCUUAUGGUUAAAAUGAAUUUCGCUAUAGGAUGGGACUGCGGUCUAUCAGCUUGUUGGUGAGGUAAUGGCCCACCAAGGCUAUAACAGAUACGGGCUCUGAGAGGAGAAGCCCGGAGAUGGGUACUGAGACACGGACCCAGGUCCUAUGGGGCGCAGCAGGCGAGAAAACUUUGCAAUGUGCGAAAGCACGACAAGGUUAAUCCGAGUGUUUCCUGCUAAAGGAAUCUUUUGUUAGUCGUAAAACCACUAUCGAAUAAGGGGUGGGCAAGUUCUGGUGUCAGCCGCCGCGGUAAAACCAGCACCUCAAGUGGUCAGGAGGGUUAUUGGGCCUAAAGCAUCCGUAGCCUGCUUUGUAAGUUUUCGGUUAAAUCCAUAUGCUCAACAUAUGGGCUGCCGGAAAUACUGCAUAGCUAGGGAGUGGGAGAGGUAGACGGUACUCCGUAGGGAGGGGUAAAAUCCUUUGAUCUAUGGAUGACCACCUGUGGCGAAGGCGGUCUACCAGAACACGUCCGACGGUGAGGGAUGAAAGCUGGGGGAGCAAACCGGAUUAGAUACCCGGGUAGUCCCAGCUGUAAACUAUGCAAACUCAGUGAUGCAUUGGCUUGUGGCCAAUGCAGUGCCGCAGAGAAGUCGUUAAGUUUGCCGCCUGGGAAGUACGUACGCAAGUAUGAAACUUAAAGGAAUUGGCGGGGGAGCACCACAAGGGGUGAAGCCUGCGGUUCAAUUGGAUUCAACGCCGGGA